UGAAUACGGCGGAAAACAGGUGCUCGCAAGAGCUUAAAAGAGAAGUUCGGUGCAAAACCGACGCGGUCCCGCCACUGUCCAUGGGGAGCAAUCCGGAAGCAGCCACUGUUGCGUCAGCAGACGUCAAUGGGAAGGCCCGGAAAGCGAUGAUCCAGGAGCCAGGAAACCUGCCUGUUUUCGACAAACACC
rnacentral:ncRNA from 2 species